UUGGAGGGCAAGUCUGGUGCCAGCAGCCGCGGUAAUUCCAGCUCCAAUAGCGUAUAUUAAAGUUGUUGCAGUUAAAAAGCUCGUAGUUGAAUUUCGGGAUCAGUAUGUUGGUCGUGCUUCGGUACGUACUGUCAUUACUGGUUUCUCCCUUCUGAAGAACCUUGAUGUCAUUAAUUUGGUGUCUUGGGGAAUCAGGACUGUUACUUUGAAAAAAUUAGAGUGUUUAAAGCAGGCAUACGCUUGAAUACAUUAGCAUGGAAUAAUGAAAUAGGACGUUUGAUUCUAUUUUGUUGGUUUCUAGGAUCGACGUAAUGAUUAAUAGGGAUAGUUGGGGGCAUUAAUAUUCAAUUGUCAGAGGUGAAAUUCUUGGAUUUAUUGAAGACUAACUACUGCGAAAGCAUUUGCCAAGGAUGUUUUCAUUAAUCAAGAACGAAAGUUAGGGGAUCGAAGACGAUCAGAUACCGUCGUAGUCUUAACCAUAAACUAUGCCGACUAGGGAUCGGAUGAUGUUAUUUUUAAUGACUCAUUCGGCGCCUUACGGGAAAC
rnacentral:rRNA from 1 species